GGUGGAGAUGAUGUAGUUAAUUAUUCCUUGCCCACGAACAUUCGACCACCCAUCAGAGAUGAUUGCAAUAGAGUCUGCAUUCUCUAUGAUAUGCUUGACGUUCACUUGAAAGCUGUUAAACUGGAGGAUGACCCUUUGCAACCCUACCCCCAACAUCAUUUUUUUUGGUGGACCUGGACAAGCACACCUGAUUCUACUUGUCAACUAAUCAUCAAGCCCUUGACAAAUUGAAUCGGGUGUUUUUGCCCGGGGGUCCAACAAAAAUGUGUGCUGUUGGGGGUAGGGCUGUGACAUAAUGGUAUUUUGGACGAUGUAAUUGGCCAGCUAAAUGAUUGCGGUGUCAUUUUCUCCACUCCUGUGAAUGUACAGCCAUGGGUGGACUUUCAGCCAUUGCAAGUGUACCCAUAGGUGCAAAGCAUGAAAUAAAACCAGGUAGUAAAAGCAGGAAGUGUACCCAUCAACAUGUGCUGUGAUUUGUUGAUUCAACUGAUCAAUAACAACAAAAACAUUCCACUGCAUGAGCCACAUCUGAGAUGCGUUCAACAAGGGAAAAAGUUUGCGAACCCUAGCUAACAUAUAAAAAUUUUGAAAAGGUAGUGUGUGGCAAAUUAAAAUGUAGAAGAUGAAGAACAGCGGAAGCACUACGGGUACAAGGCCAUCAUUGAUGGAAAUCAGAAGACUGGUCAGGGGAGAAGAAAGUGGGAGUUCUAGUUCAUGGAGGAUGCUGUGACCCCCUGCAGUCAUUAUAUCAUCUUUUCCCACACGGUCACCCACAGUAGCACACCUACGGUCACCCACACCUACAGUAGCACUGACACCCUGUCACCCUCUCUCUCUAAUACAACACCUUAUAAUCCUCAUACCAACACCACUCCCUACAAACAAUCCAAAAAUAAUACCAGAAGAGAUGCUCGAGGGCAAAACUGGACAGUAUCAUUGCACUUCAAGAAACAAAACAAACACUUCAAGCACAGAGUGAGAGAAACUAUUUUCUUAAACAAUUUACCGCUGCUCUCCAGAAUGUCAAAUAACAGUAGCCUGAAUGUAUUUUAUUUAUUGUUCAUUUGUCAACUAAUAACAUUCUCCUGAGAUUUUCCUUGAUUGUAUGUUUAACUGAAAUUGUUAAUAACUAAUUGUUUUGGAACAUGUUUUAUUAAAAUGGAAACAUAAA